UACGAAGGGGGCUAGCGUUGUUCGGAAUUACUGGGCGUAAAGCGCACGUAGGCGGAUUGUUAAGUUAGGGGUGAAAUCCCAGGGCUCAACCCUGGAACUGCCUUUAAUACUGGCAAUCUCGAGUCCGAGAGAGGUGAGUGGAAUUCCGAGUGUAGAGGUGAAAUUCGUAGAUAUUCGGAGGAGCACCAGUGGCGAAGGCGGCUCACUGGCUCGGUACUGACGCUGAGGUGCGAAAGCGUGGGGAGCAAACAGG
rnacentral:rRNA from 1 species